AACCAAAGGGAUAUUUUUGACGGUGUUUCAUGGUUGGCUUUUCUUUUGACAAGCCGCUGAUAGGUUUAUGGCUGUGCUGAGACAUAGCGGCGGGGUGGGGGGUGGUUGUGCGCACAAAACAGAAGUUGGACGGUGAUGAAAGAACAGAGGUGCGGAGAGGGAGAGAGCACAGAUGAAACGGGCUGAUGACAAUACAAGCGCAAUCUGCAGGAAACGAGAAAGAAUAGUCAUUAGUGCGGCACAGUCACGUUGCACGGAGACUCCCGGCGGGACAAUUACACCCCGUCCCGUCUCCUUCCCGGCAUGCGCGGGGGGCGGUGGCCAUCCCGCUCCUCUCUCUCAGCUCCGAGGUUCUUCGGGGAGACACGGGUUGGACCAGCGGCACCCCUGACGCGCAUCGUUCUGCAGCGCCGGGGAAGCGGGAAGAGCGGCGCUUGGGUGGGAUGGCACACGUCCGCCGUGGCGCUACCCACGAUGCUCUGUCCCUCGACAUCAGGGAACGGUUGUCCACGAGGGCCAGAGGAAGGUGAGGGCCGGGUGGGGUGUGGUUCUCCUCCUGAUCUGGGACCGGGGCUUUGUGGCAGGCAGGUGAGUGAGCGGUGGAUGGGGGGCGUAGACUCUAGGCAUCACCUCAUCCGUCACCAGGCAGGAGCGCUGGCCUGGAAGCCAGCUGACAGACGGCAAUAAGGAGUGGGCAGUAAUGAUAGUGCGAUUACCGCAGUAAUACCGAGAUUACUCCUAAUGCUGCUUUCAAGCUGGCGGCACUGUGUCCUGUGUGUGUGGGAAGUCUUUUGGGCGGCUUGUAGCCCCUUUUUUACACCAAUCAGAGAUGAAACACAUGGAACAGGGGUCGAGGGGAAAGGCGGGAAGGAGAGGACGAGACGCCAUCCCAGGCAGGGAUGUGAUCCGCGGUGCUGACCUCACACACCGACCCCCCGCAGGAGGAGGUGGAGUCUCCUGGGUCGGACCGUGCGAAGAAGGAGCGAAAUUGGUCGAUGAGGGUCACGGGGAGCCAGAGCCUAACCCGGCAACACAGGGCGUAAGGCUGGAGAGGGAGGGGACACGCCCAGGACGGGACGCCAGUCCAUCCCAAGGCACCCAAGCAGGACUCGAACCCCAGACCCACCGAAGAGCAGGACCCAGCCAAACCUGCCCGCCGCCCCUGUAUUGGCUGAGCAUCGGAGCCUCUGAUCUAAGCUGGGUGAGGCUCAAGAUCGACUGGCCGCCCUUCUCCUACGCUCUGCACACCCCCCACUCAAUGGAAACUCACUGGGAAUCCGGUGGGGGUAUUUCUCCGCAGCGCCCUCUGGUGGUAGCUCAUGUCGUCAUCUCAGUCUUCUCCCCCUCCCUCUGUAUUCUUUCUGUUGGCCCCCUUGCCAGCCCUCUGUCAGGCGGGGGGUGGGGGGUUCGGCAUGAUUGA
rnacentral:lncRNA from 1 species